UACGGAGGGUGCAAGCGUUAAUCGGAAUUACUGGGCGUAAAGCGUGCGUAGGCGGUUCGUUAAGUCUGUUGUGAAAGCCCCGGGCUCAACCUGGGAAUGGCAAUGGAUACUGGCGAGCUAGAGUGUGUCAGAGGAUGGUGGAAUUCCCGGUGUAGCGGGUGAAAUGCGUAGAGAUCGGGAGGAACAUCAGUGGCGAAGGCGGCCAUCUGGGGACAACACUGACGCUGAGGCACGAAAGCGUGGGGAGCAAACAGG
rnacentral:rRNA from 1 species